rnacentral:rRNA from 1 species
AAUGAACGCUGGCGGCAUGCCUUACACAUGCAAGUCGAACGGCAGCAUGACCUAUCUUGCUCGUUUGAUGGCGAGUGACGAACGGGUGAGUAAUGCAUCGGCAGGUGCCUUUUUGUGGGGGAUAACGUAACGAAAGGUACGCUAACACCGCAUAUUCUCUGAGGAGGAAAGCAGGGUACCUUCGGGCCUCGCGCUAGAAGAGCGGCCGAUGUCGGCUUAGCUAGUUGGUGAGGUAAAGGCUCACCAAGGCAACGAUCCGUAGCGGGUCUGAGAGGAUGAUACGCGACACUGGGACUUAGACACGGCCCAGAGUCCUGCGGUAGGCAGCAGUGGGGAAUGUUGGGCAAUGGGCGCAAGCCUGAUCCAGCCGUGCCGCGUGAGUGAAGACAGCCUUCGGGGUGUAAAGCUCUGUCGGGUGGGAAGAAAUCGCUCCCUCUAAUACGGGGUGUGGAUGACGGUACCAGGAUAAGAAGCACCGGCUAACUACGUG